rnacentral:lncRNA from 1 species
UGCCCGGGGCUCUCGGGGGGAUCCGAAAACGGCCGGGUCUCGCCGGAGUCCGUUACGUGGGCCUGAUUCCUCCUUUCCCCACCCCCUCCUGAUCUUCUGUCAGCCGGCCGCUUACUCACCGCAUAAAUUUCACGUCGGAGGAAACAAAGGACUUGGAAAGGGGGCGUUUGGAGCAUCUUGACUCUUUCUUUUUUCAGUUGCAUAAACCUCUGGGUCCGCGGAACGUGUGUAUGUCGAUAUAAAUACUUCUUUUUUCUGGGGUCCAGUGGCAUAUCGACUUCGGGAUCCGGGCCGUGGAGUAGUGUUAACAGUGAAAUCGAAAGUGUUAAUCGGCAGAAUGGCGUUCCAAAUUUUCCUCGCAGCAGCACUCAUCUCCAUUGCAACCGCACAACAAUACACCUACAGAGCCCCUCAGCCCUCCCAAAAAACCUACUCACAAGGAUCCCCAGGUUACUCUCAAAAGGCGGUCACCUACACUCAGCCAGCCGCCGCCUACGCUCCUGCACCCGCCUACGCCCCUGCCCCUGCCUACGCUGCCGCCCCCGCCGCCGCCUACCCGGCUCCAGCACCCGCCUACCCCCAGGACGCCCCCGCCUACAGCCCAGGCGCAGCCUCGUCCUCGCAGUUCAUUUCUUUCUUCGGCGGCCACGGACAGCUCUACAACGAGCACCCCCAGGCAGCAGCCCCAGUUUCCGCCUACCAGCCUGAAUCCGCCCAGUCUGACGGACAAUACGCCUACGGCCAAGAAUCCGCCUACGGUGGUCAGUCUGCGGUAGAGUCUUACGGAGAACAGGGCGCAGCUGUAUUCUCCGCCCCCACCUACUCCGCCGGAUCUUUCAAGCCCGCCGCAUCUAGCGCCGGAUCCGCCUACAAGUCUCAGUCUGGAGGCUCCUCCGCCUACUCAGCACCCACCUACAAGCGAGCGUCGCCGAAGACUCCCUCUUACAAAGGAUCCGCAGCCUCUUCCGCUGGGAAUCUGGAUCUUCUUACGGUACCCAGACUGAGUCUUCUUACGGAGCUUCCUCAGGAUCUUACGGAGAACAAGUCAGCGGUGCUUACAAAGGACAGUCUGGAGCUACAUCUGUUUACGGCAAUCAGGCUGCAGGUAGUGCAGGUGCCGGAUACAGCCCACAGUCCGGCUACUCGUCAGAACAGCAGGCAAAAUCAGACCCAUCUGCGGUUCAUAGCUCCUAUGAGUUCACUAUCGGAUCUGCCCACUAAAAACUUUCUAGUAGAUGAACUCUUUAGAAGUUGAAUGAUGACUUUCUGCGUUCCACUGGUAGUGAUAUUUUGGCGAGCAUCGAACUUGCCACCACUUCAUGUGUGAUACUCGAUUUUCUGCCAGUUUUCAUUUGAAGUAUUGCACCCUCACGUCUUUCAAGUGUGUCUUUAUCACUAGGUCUAUAAAUUUGUGUAUUUUCCGAGGAAAAACACGAUAUUUUUAUAAGUUUCAUUUUGCUGCUGACCAAAGAAUUGAAAAAAAAAUUAAUAAAUAACUCAUUGUUUUCUUGUUUUUCCAAUUUUUUUAGUUUCAUUAUAUAUUUUUCCUUUUCUAUCUGCACUUUAAAUAUUUCCCUGCUGCAGUUUACCGAUUGCAGAUGUUCAUUUUUUCUUUUAAAUCACUUUCUCUGAUUGUGAAAAUUAACACUGAAUUGUGAAAAUUUGUUAUAAAUGACACGUAAAACGUUCAAUUUGCGGACACCUAAAGUAAAUUUUAAUACAUUUCUCUUUUGCAUUUGCUUAAAAAAAGGUACGAUAUGCCUAUUCGAGAAGUGUUGGUAUAUUUGGUUCUUGGGUUAAAUUUUGUUAGGAAUAAUACCAAAGCGUAGGAUAAAAAAUACGAAGCCAAAAACAGUGGUUCCUCUAUUCUUAAUCAUUGUCUUUAUUCCUGCAUGAUUCCCGAAGAAUCUCUGAACCAAAACUAUAUUUCUGUUAAUGUUAAUCUUGCAUUUGGCUAAUUUUACCAGUUGUAUGAUGAGCAUCAUCAGAAAACUGGUAAUGGCUACAAGAUUUCCUAGGAAUCAUGUACAGCCAGGGACUCAGGGCCUUUAUUUCCGUUAAAUAGUUCUGAUCCGUCAGAGGUAGUUUUGACGUGCGACAAAGAUUACUUUCGAAAAGAGAAUGGCGAAGGAAAAACCCACAUUUAAUUAAACAGUUUAUGAUUAAUGUUUCUUUAUCCUCUUUGAGGUAUUUUUCACUGGAAAAAAUUGAUGAUGGGAACAGAAAAAAGAAAUCCCUUUAUAAAUAUUUCCAACAGAGAGGGUCCCAAGAGGAAAUAGUUUCCGCAAAUCAAAACUCACUUUCGGCGUUAUAAAUUGCAGAACGUAUAGUUUUUACAAGGUAAUGUGACUUUAAAAAAAUCCGAGUUUCAACUGAAAUUUGUCUUAUUUUCAUCGUAUUCUCAAAAAUCAUGUG